CGAAACGCGACGAUGAAUCAUUGUCUCGUCAACGUCAUCUAGACUCUUACUAGAAAGGUAAUGUUAGCUCGGUAAACUACGGAAAUCUUGGAACUAAAGGAGGGAUACACCUUGAACGUUUCACUUCUGUAAACUGGAAAUUACAUCUCCGUACCUGUCUAACGUGCCGCCGCGCCGCGUUGCGACGUCUUCUCGGAAAUAUAAAUCCAAGCGAAGUAAAAAGCUCUGAUCAAGAUAAUAAAAAUCAGGUCGAUAGAGGUUCCGAGUGAAGAUUUCG
rnacentral:misc_RNA from 1 species